rnacentral:rRNA from 1 species
UACGGAGGGUGCAAGCGUUAUCCGGAUUCACUGGGCUUAAAGGGUGCGUAGGUGGGUUGGUAAGUCAGUGGUGAAAUCUCCGGGCUUAACUCGGAAACUGCCGUUGAUACUAUCAAUCUUGAAUCUCGUGGAGGUAAGCGGAAUAUGUCAUGUAGCGGUGAAAUGCUUAGAUAUGACAUAGAACACCGAUAGCGAAGGCAGCUUGCUACACGAGUAUUGACACUGAGGCACGAAAGCGUGGGGAUCAAACAGG